rnacentral:lncRNA from 1 species
AAAUAAGGAGAAAGCUAAGCAAGGACAAGAGCUUCAACUGCACUAGCACUAGACGGGAUAACUUGUUCCAGAUGCUCUCCUUCGCCCUCCCAUAUUUCAGGUAUUGCUUCUUUGAUAUUGUGGAUGCUACUCAAGACAUGGUCUGCACCUGGUACUAGGACUGAGCUCCCAACCUGCCAUCACCAUCUAGCCAUGUUAAUGUAGGACCAAAAUUUGUUCGUUAGUAUGUUUAUUUGUUAAGUGGCCCUGUGUUUGACUACAUGCUCUUUGUUCUCUAAGGCAUCAAGAAUUUAUUAGGUAUUUUAUACUUUUGGCUAUGAGAGAAAGCAGAAGUUGUAGCUUACAAUUACUGUGUGAAGUCCUGCAGCUUUCCCACUUGCAAUGUUUCUAACACUAUCAUCAAAGAAGAUCUGACGAGGAAAAAAUAGAAACAAUAACACUAUCAUUUCUUUCCCUAAGUGCUUAAACUAAAUAGAGAGAUGCUGCUUAGCGUUAAUUGGGUUUAAAUAAGUCUCAAAACUUUACUGUUCUCUUGGGGUCAACAUCUGCAAUUCGAAUAGCUGCUUCCAUGGCCUCCAGAGAAGGUUUACAUAGGAUUCGAGGCUUGGAGUUAGUGUCAGCAUCAUCAAGGUCACUGUGCUGAGGUUCACCGCUUGCAAGAACUUCAUCAUCA